rnacentral:rRNA from 1 species
UACGAAGGGGGCUAGCGUUGCUCGGAAUCACUGGGCGUAAAGGGUGCGUAGGCGGGUCUUUAAGUCAGGGGUGAAAUCCUGGAGCUCAACUCCAGAAUUGCCUUUGAUACUGAGGAUCUUGAGUUCGGGAGAGGUGAGUGGAACUGCGAGUGUAGAGGUGAAAUUCGUAGAUAUUCGCAAGAACACCAGUGGCGAAGGCGGCUCACUGGCCCGAUACUGACGCUGAGGCACGAAAGCGUGGGGAGCAAACAGG